GGCUCCGUAGGUUAAUGGCUAGACCAAUAGGUUUUCAUCCUAUAGGCGUGGGUUCGAAUCCCAUCGGAGUUACCA
rnacentral:tRNA from 1 species